GACGAACGCUGGCGGCGUGCCUAAUACAUGCAAGUUGAGCGCUGAAGGUUGGUACUUGUACCGACUGGAUGAGCAGCGAACGGGUGAGUAACGCGUGGGGAAUCUGCCUUUGAGCGGGGGACAACAUUUGGAAACGAAUGCUAAUACCGCAUAAAAACUUUAAACACAAGUUUUAAGUUUGAAAGAUGCAAUUGCAUCACUCAAAGAUGAUCCCGCGUUGUAUUAGCUAGUUGGUGAGGUAAAGGCUCACCAAGGCGAUGAUACAUAGCCGACCUGAGAGGGUGAUCGGCCACAUUGGGACUGAGACACGGCCCAAACUCCUACGGGAGGCAGCAGUAGGGAAUCUUAGGCAAUGGACGAAAGUCUGAACGAGCAACGCCGCGGGAGUGAAGAGGGUUGUCGGAUCGUAAAACUCUGUUGGUAGAGAAGAACGUUGGUGAGAGUGGAAAGCUCAUCAAGUGACGGUAACUACCCAGAAAGGGACGGCUAACUACGUG
rnacentral:rRNA from 1 species